rnacentral:rRNA from 1 species
UGGGGAAUCUUGCACAAUGGGGGAAACCCUGAUGCAGCGACGCCGCGUGAGCGAUGAAGGUUUUCGAAUCGUAAAGCUCUGUCCUAUGGGAAGAUAAUGACGGUACCAUGGGAGGAAGCCCCGGCUAACUACGUGCCAGCAGCCGCGGUAAUACGUAGGGGGCGAGCGUUGUCCGGAAUUACUGGGCGUAAAGGGUUCGCAGGCGGCAUGGCAAGUCCGAUGUAAAAGGCGAAGGCUCAACCUUCGUAAGCAUCGGAAACUGUCAAGCUUGAGUGAAGGAGAGGCAAGUGGAAUUCCUAGUGUAGCGGUUGAAUGCGUAGAUAUUAGGAGGAAUACCGGUGGCGAAGGCGACUUGCUGGACUUCAACUGACGCUGAGGAACGAAAGCGUGGGUAGCAAACAGG